CCUACGGGGGGCUGCAGUGGGGAAUAUUGGACAAUGGGGGGAACCCUGAUCCAGCCAUGCCGCGUGUGUGAAGAAGGCCCUCGGGUUGUAAAGCACUUUCAGUGAGGAAGAACGCCUGGUGGUUAAUACCCAUCAGGAAAGACAUCACUCACAGAAGAAGCACCGGCUAACUCCGUGCCAGCAGCCGCGGUAAUACGGAGGGUGCGAGCGUUAAUCGGAAUUACUGGGCGUAAAGCGCGCGUAGGUGGCUUGAUAAGCCGGUUGUGAAAGCCCCGGGCUCAACCUGGGAACGGCAUCCGGAACUGUCAAGCUAGAGUGCAGGAGAGGAAGGUAGAAUUCCCGGUGUAGCGGUGAAAUGCGUAGAGAUCGGGAGGAAUACCAGUGGCGAAGGCGGUCUUCUGGACUGACACUGACACUGAGGUGCGAAAGCGUGGGUAGCAAACAGGAUUAGAUACCCUAGUAGUC
rnacentral:rRNA from 1 species